rnacentral:sRNA from 1 species
AUUAUAUUAUAAAAUUUAAUCUCGAUUUUUUAAAAUUACGGGAUUAAAUUUUAACUAAAUGGUUAUGGAAAUCUCUGGUUUUGCAGUCUUGUCUGAUGCAUUUGUUUCUCGAUAACAACAUUGAUCUGACGGUGGAAUGUACAACUCAAAACGGUGAAGUUAUCUUUGCAUAUAAACCAUUCCUUCACCGCCUUUUUUACAUUUUCUAUUAUGAUCUGCAAAAUAACGAUUUGAGAAAGGUUAGAAUCGAGGAGUAUUACCAUUAUAUU